CCCGCGCCGGGCAUGUUUUGGAAGUGCUGCCUCCUGACCCUGCACCGCUGCCGGGGAGUGACGGGAUCCUGAAGGUGUAACUGUGUUUAUUAGUACAUCGAUGAGUUGACGAAGUACUGCUGCCAGUGGACGCUGCUGCCUGGCUUGGAGCACUAACCGGAGAUGGACGGAUCUACUCGUUAGCGAAGCGCUCAGUGUCCUUGUUUACCUGUGUGAUGAGAAGGAAGAGGAGGAUGAGGACGGCGGCGGCUUCGUGAGGAAAUAGAUAGGGGGACGAGGUGAAGAAAAGGCCAGCUGAGUAUCAUGGAAUAAGGUAUU